rnacentral:rRNA from 1 species
UACGUAGGGUGCAAGCGUUAAUCGGAAUUACUGGGCGUAAAGCGUGCGCAGGCGGUUUUGUAAGUCUGUUGUGAAAUCCCCGGGCUCAACCUGGGAAUUGCGAUGGAGACUGCAAGGCUAGAAUCUGGCAGAGGGGGGUAGAAUUCCACGUGUAGCAGUGAAAUGCGUAGAGAUGUGGAGGAACACCGAUGGCGAAGGCAGCCCCCUGGGUCAAGAUUGACGCUCAUGCACGAAAGCGUGGGGAGCAAACAGGAUU